UGUUCAAUGGUUAUGCGGUGAAGUCCGGUGAAAUUCCGGCAUAGUCGCGCUACGGUCAUAGUCCGAUCCCGCAUAUAUGCCCCAUGAGGGGACCAUUACCGGCUCGCGUCAGGCCAAUAAGGAAAUU
rnacentral:ncRNA from 31 species